rnacentral:ncRNA from 1 species
CUUAUGGGACGACCCAUAAGCGCUUUCUACAAUGGGGACGGCCCC